UACGUAGGGGGCUAGCGUUGUCCGGAUUUAUUGGGCGUAAAGAGCGUGUAGGCGGCCAGGUAGGUCUGCUGUGAAAACUCGAGGCUCAACCUCGAGACGUCGGCGGAAACCAUCUGGCUAGAGUCCGGAAGAGGAGAGUGGAAUUCCUGGUGUAGCGGUGAAAUGCGCAGAGAUCAGGAGGAACACCGGUGGCGAAGGCGGCCUACUGGGCCAGCACUGACGCUGAGGCGCGAAAGCUAGGGGAGCAAACGGG
rnacentral:rRNA from 1 species